GGCGUGAUGGCCGAGUGGUCUAAGGCGAUACUUUUAAGCAGUAUUGGGGAGACCCGCGCGAGUUCGAACCUCGCUCACGUCA